UUCAAUGCAGCUUUCAUACUGUCCUCAUUUCUGCUAUUUUCUAUCAAUCUUUUAACCAUUAGGGGUUUAGUGUAGCUUAGUAUUUGAUCUGGUUCAGCCUCGGGGUUGCUUAGAUAUUAUAUUUUCGUUCAUGUUCGAUUAGGUUGGCAUGAUGCUGGUACCUAUGACAAGAACAUUAUCGAGUGGCCCAAGUGUAGUGGCGCUAAUGGUAGCUUGAGAUCCAAAGUCGAGUUGAAGCAUGGGGCCAAUGCUGAUCUUGUGAAUGCUCUGAAGCUGAUCCAACCUAUCAAGGACAAGUUUUCAAGUGUUACCUAUGCAGAUCUGUUUCAGCUUGCAAGGGCCAUAGCUAUUGAGGAAGCAGGUGUCCCCAAAAUCCCUAUGAUCUAUGGAAGGGUUGACGUUAUUGCCCUUGACAAUGCCCGCCAAAGGGAAGGCUUCCUGGGCCGAUAGACGGCUCGACGCACAAGUGGUGGUUGUGGAGGCCAGACAGCGCACAAGGCCAUCACUGGGUUGUGGCGGGGCAGGAGAGAUGAGUGGGGGAGACUGGGAGAGUGAUGAGCCUUUUCUGUAAUUGAGACAGACUCCACCAAGGUUGGCAUGAUGCUGGUACCUAUGACAAGAACACUAUCGAGUGGCCCAAGUGUAGUGGCGCUAAUGGUAGCUUGAGAUCCAAAGUCGAAUUGAAGCAUGGGGCCAAUGCUGAUCUUGUGAAUGCUCUGAAGCUGAUCCAACCUAUCAAGGACAAGUUUUCAAGUGUUACCUAUGCAGAUCUGUUUCAGCUUGCCAGUGCCAUAGCUAUUGAGGAAGCAGGUGUCCCCGAAAUCUGUAUGAUCUAUGGAAGGGUUGACGUUAUUGCCCUUGACAAUGCCCGCCAAAGGGGAGGCUUCCUGGGCCGAUAGAUGGCUUGACGAACAAGCGGUGGCUGUGGAGCCCGCGGCAGCGCACAAGGCCAUCGCUGGGUUGUGGCGGGGCAGGAGAGAUGAGUGGGGGAGACUGGGAGAGUGAUGAGCCUUUUCUGUAAUUGAGACGGACUCCACCAAGAUUUGGGUCCAGAGUUUGUUUUCACAAUCAAACGGUAUCCUCAUGUAUGUGCAUAAGGAGGAGGAUCCCUAGAACUUGAUUCUUUCCUGUGCGGCCACUGAUGGCAUCCUUUAUUUGCGUCAAGGAUUUCCCUCAAGAUUUAUGCAUGCAUGCGUGGCACAAAUUUCUUUGCUCUCCUAAGUGGGAUUUGAGAUCGUGUGAAGCUAAGCUUUUCAUCAAGAUGGCACUUGUUGUUAUCUAUGGAUCUAUCUACCCCAUACUUCCAUGGACACCGGCUACUACAACUGAUGCCAAGUACUGCUGCAUAUAUGCUGCUUGAGCUAGAUGCUGCUGCUUCACACCUGCUUCUGCUAGCUGGUACCAAACACUGCAUAUAUGCUGCUUCACGCCUGCAGAACUGAUGGUGAAUUCUAUGUGUCUGAACUGAAUUGUAUGAACUCAAGUGAUGCUUUUGUGUGAAUGGAAUAAGUGUGCGAAACUGAGAAGAACAGAUUGUGUGCAUAACCGUUUGGGCUAACUGUGUGACAGUAUGUCUGCAUAAUACUUGUCUGAAAAAUUGAUUCGACUGACUAACAAUUCGAAAGAUUGACUGCAUAACAGUUGUCUGACACACUGAGAAACUGAAAAGCAUCACUUGAGUUCAUUGGUUCCUUGGUUCAAGGUUUGUUUUAUUGGAGCAUACAUUUACAUAAAAUUAGAAUGGCAAUUCCAUACACAACUCAUGAGCUACUUGCAGCAAUUGUUCAGUUCUUAAUUAUAUUAAUAUUAUCCAAUCAUAUUUCAGAGUGUUAGUUCUGCAGGAGAGGUGCUUGAGACAAGGAAAAGUAGGGAGUCAAAAUCAUGAUGAAUGUUGUCAUCUUGAAACAUAACUAAGUUAAAAACAUUGUCAUGGUAGCCUUUUUUGCCGUGAUAGAAACCAUCAAAUGCAUGAAAUUCUUUCAGUCGAUUGAAAAACUCUUGUCUAAACUUAUGUCAGUGAUUUUCUUUUAAAUCAUAAGCAUGAAGUGCAUCAUUUUACAUUUUACUGUCCUGACAAAGCAAAGCACUAGCACUGGUCUGACAUCAUCCAAGCACGCCAUAAAAUUACUAUUUCUAACUUUGGUUAUCUGUACACUUAUGGUUGGAAGCGAUGCAUUUUUAAAACUGUUUUUAUCUCUAUAUUUCUUUACUGCAGAUUGGAGAGUAGUACACAGGUAUUUGUAGUUCUUUCAUGUGAAAUUUUACUACUGUGUGAUAAACCUUCAUACACGACAGACCUUACAAGUUUUGAGAGUUUUAUAUUUCAGCUAGCUAAUUUAGGCUUGGUUCCAUAGGACUGUAUGAGUGACUGCAACGAUGCCAUUAUAAUCAUUGAAGUGAUGUUUUGUGGAACAACCAGAUUUGUAAAGUUUAAUUGGAUCUAAGUGACCAUUAUAAGAAAAAUCAUUGAUUAUUACUUGGUUCAUCUUUAUCCAACUUAUUAUAGGUUUUCACGUAUUUUUGUUAUGAGUGCAAGGUGCAGUUUCUGUAUCUAACUGCCCCUUUCUUAACAUCAUGUGGCUAUUCUAUUACUUUGUUUUGUGUAUAUAAUUACCAGACACAUGUUUGCUACUAGAUUUAUCGGCAUGAAUAAUUGAUGAGACAAACUCAAUGUCAACCGUCUUUCUUUGAGUUUUCUUCAUUGAUAGAAUCAAAGGCAUAAAGAUAGGUGUGUGUUUCAUUUCUUCAUUGAUUAGUCCUAGAUCUUAUUUCAACUAUUUCUUCAUUGAUUAGUUCUAGAUCUGUGAAAAGUACUACCUUUAUGUUGCAUGGACCUCCUACAAGUUCCCUCAUUAACCAAAAGAAAUGAGAAGUCUCCAAAUUUCUUAAGGUAGUCAGAUUUUGAUAUUGUUGCUAUCAAAGUAGACAAACUAUAUUUUUAACGAUAUUCACUAAGGUUAUAUAGAAAUUGUAUCUCUAAAUUAAGUUGCGUAGUUGGGAUACAAUCUGAGAUCUAGAUUCAUUAACAUUUUGAUCGAACGAGCAACAGUAGGCCCCCUUAAUUUUUGUGUCGCCGCAAAGCACUGCCACCGACGACGAAUGGGCGCUUCAGAACGAGCAACUCUAUGAUUGUCACCUACCUUUCCUAAGCCUACUUUUGUUACUACUAUAAGAAUAAGUCAACGAAAAAAGCUUCAUCUCUAUUUGUUUCCGCUAUGCAUUGUGUAGCUUAGAGUUGUCUCAUAACACUAGAAUGAUUGAGCGGUGGGGAACACUAUGGGUAUCCUUGAUUUUUUUCUUGCAUUGAGUUGCCUUUGUAUCAAUUUUUAAUUGUUUCUUAUUGAGACUUGUUUGGUAUAACAACAACCUGGUGAUGUCUUGAUGAAUUGCAAAUUAGUUGUGCGGAGCCUGCUUGGGUAGGGUGAACAAAGUGGCUUUGUUUAUGGCCCUUUCCACCCUUGCUGUUGCAAGGAAACAUGAACUUGAUGGCAGCAAUAAACCUGGGCAAAGGGAGAAGGCGCAUGACUGGAGAGCCUUUCUUCUUUAUUUUGACCAGUCCCAGAAACAAGGUGGGUUCAGUACUUCAAUCCUUUUUUGUUCCUUCAGACAAAACUAUAAUGUUUCUACUUGAGUAUAGGAAGUAUGUGUAUAGCAUGUCUUUCUAGCUGUGGUUUUAUAUAAUUAGGCUUAAGGUAAUAGUGGCAUGUGGGGAUGUAUUUUAUUCUUUAUUGGAACGUGGUGGGUUUUCUAUAGUGGUGAUGUUUUCCUUUGGUUUGAUAGCUACAAUUUUUUAAUACAUAAUCCUUGGUGCUCUGCAUGAGUUUCAUUCAAGCUGAGCAGGGCGUAGCUGCUGCCAAGGUUCCCCGUUCAACGCUUGCAGCCACAUCCCUCUGCCAGCCAGGCGGUGGUGGGGAGGGAGACUGGGAUGGAGCAUGUGCCGAUGUGGCUGCGUGCGUUCCCGGAUCUGCACACCUAUGUCAGCAUGUAGGUGUGGGUUGAGUCAUCGGUGACUAAUGACAUGAUGGACAAGGUGGAGCAGGUGCGGCAACGGAGGAUGGCCGAGAAGUCCCUGCUCAGCUUGCAAUGAAGGUUGGCUAUGGCAAGCGCGGAAGAAUUAAAAAAUAAUGGUUGUCAGGAGACAUAUGAGAGCCCUAGAAAAGUGGUGAGGCAUCAGUUGCUAAUGGAUAUGCAGCAGGUGAUAUCCAUGAUGGAUAUGCAGCAGGUGAUAUGUCCAGCAUAUAGUGAUAUCGAUGCCUGUCUUAGUGGUUCCUGCAAUUUUUCUCUCCAAUACUAACACGCCUGGUUUCGUGAAAACAAAUUAUUACAAAAUUAACAACUCAGUGCAGUGAGAAGGCUUUUGAGUUAGAGUUAAAGUCAGCUGAUAAUCGUGUCCUCUAGGAGCAGCUACUACAGAAGAAUGUGGAAAUCAACGAUUUACAAGAAACAAAUUUCGCAUUGAGCAACAACUCUCAGCAAAAGUGGAUAUAUCCUCUGAGAAGGAAGCUGAUUGUACACAACAUGAGACUAUUGAUUUGAAAUCUAAACUUCAGUCCAAGGAAGCUAAAAUUGAGAAGAUGAAAUAUGAACAUCUGACGAGGGAGGCUGCUUUGGCAAAGAAGGAGCUUCUUGAAGAGGAGUACAAGAAAAUGUUUGAUGAGGCAAAGAAGGAACUAUCUCUCGAGAAUGAUCUAGCAGGCAUGUGAGUUCUUGUUGCUAAAUUGAAAAGAGGGGCUUUAGACAUAUCUGAUUUGAAUGUUGAUGAUCGAACUAAAGUGUAAGGGCGUAGCGAUCACCACAUUGUUGUCUCAUAAUUGGUGUUAAUGAAAAAUAACAUGGUGCUGCACAGAAUCUCUACUUUCUCUUGUAAGAAGGAUUGUUCUGUCAGCAUAAUUUGAUUUGCAUGUAUAAUGUCUUCAUGCUUUACUUGCCCUUUUGUGAAAUGUGGCGAUCAGUUAUCUUGCCUUCCUUUUCUGUUUCUAUUCUGCGAUAGAAUGAUUGGAGUAGAUUAUAAGUAUGGUGCUAAUUUCAUAUAAAUAAUAAUAAUUGUUGCUAAUUUAUGGUCAAGUUAGUAGGAUAAUAAUUUAGCCCCCAGAAUAAAAUGUAUUGUUAAGUCUUAGCAAAAGUUUUAAAGAGAAUUGGGUGCCAUGUCUAUCUGGAUGCAAAAAAUGACCACUUUCUGCUUCGUUCUCGCUUGCGUAUCGUGGUGGUGCAGAGCAUUUGCGCCUAGAAGAAGCGGGUGGCGACGAAGGCGCUACAGGGUAGCGAUAGUUACGUGCCUUGUUUUCAUAAUUAUUGCCGUUGCAACGCACGGGCACCAUACUAGUAUAUAUAUAUAUGUAUUAAAGAGAAGAAUACGUUUUGAGAGAAUAUGUGAGUGACCAUGAUGAGAUAUUCUAAUAAAAUUAUAACAAUGAUGAGAUGAUCUGAAUUAAAAGUAAGCACUGGCUGGAAUUUUUUGAUGGGUGGUCCAUACCGCCGCAUCUUCGGGGUUUUAGGCUUUUGUCAAGGCCUCAAUGGUACGGUGCAAAUUGUUUCACUUUGUAGACCAUACGUAUAGUCUGUCCGGUGUCGUAUAUUUCAAACAUAAAUAACCACUAGUCGGUUACCGUGCGUUGCGACGGCUCACAACAAUACCCACAUAAAUUAUCCACAAAAAAGAUUUCAAGAGAUUUUUUAUUUAUUGUCUCCAUUUUUCACAUAAUAUUUUUAUGAGCGCACGGGUGCCGUAGGCAGCAAAUCAGAUACCCUCAUCCCUCGCCACUCUCACUUCCAAGGUUUCGUAGAGCAGGAGGGGAAGGGAAGAGGCGGACAUAUGUAGGGUCGAGAUGGCGGACUAGAGGGGGGUGAAUAGUCCUUUCUAAAACUAAUUACAAUGGCUAACACAAAUAAAUACGGAAUUAAAACUAUUUUGGUUUAGCCAAGACUACCUCCUCUAACUAUUACAAACACCUGACAAAAGAUUCUAAUUGAAACAACUAAGGUGCCAAGAUAGUGAAAGAGCUCUCCCAUACAUAUCUAGUUAGCAACGACAUACAAAUUAUGCAAAUGUAAUUUUAAGCACAACGAUAUCUCCUAAACAUACUAGUAAGCAAAGAGCACAAAGCACAAGCACUACUAGAGAGAAACAACUACUUAGCUACAUAAGCUAAGUAAAACAGAUUAGCUACACAAGCUAACAACAAGUGAGCAACUAUUUUAUUAUAGAUAUGACUAGAUAUACAAGAGCAUAUACGAGCAACAAAUACUCACUAGCAUAAGUAUAUGAACAAGUAAAUACAAGCUAGUGAGGAAAGUUGCAAACCAACGGAAAGAUGAUGACACGUGGCACAAUGAUUUUUUCCCGUGGUGUCGAUGACUUGCCGGUCACCCCUAGUCCACGUUGAGGUAGAUUCAAAGCUCCCAACCGCUCCUCUAUCAAGUCUCCACUUGAUCCCUUGAGCCGGAUUGGUCAAUGAACCCUCAAACCUCGAUUCCACUAGAGUUGCUUUUCACCACUCCGGCGAGGCAAGCACAACGCCUCUCACAAUCACCACCGCGGCCUCUUCACAGUCUCCUUUGAAGAGCUCACGGGGAACCACCACCAAGCCGUCUAGGAGGCGGCAACCUCCAAGAGUAACAAGCCAACGACCUCACUUGAUGAUCUCCCUAGUGCCUCAAAGAUCAACAACUUGAUGCAAUGCACUAGAUGGCUCUCAAUCUCACUAGAAUGCAAUCCGAACCAAUAUGAGUGAGAGAGAGGGAGAGGAAAGGCUCCAAUAUGCUCACAAGUGUUCCAACUAGCCUCCUUCUUGCUUUCAACCCGGGCAACACAAGGAUAUAUAGCCCCCUCUCCAAAACUAGCCGUUAUGGGUCAAUUGCC